UGCGAAGGGGGGCUAGCGUUGCUCGGAAUCACUGGGCGUAAAGCGCACGUAGGCGGGUUCUUAAGUCAGGGGUGAAAUCCUGGAGCUCAACUCCAGAACUGCCUUUGAUACUGGGAAUCUCGAGUCCGGGAGAGGUGAGUGGAACUGCGAGUGUAGAGGUGAAAUUCGUAGAUAUUCGCAAGAACACCAGUGGCGAAGGCGGCUCACUGGCCCGGUACUGACGCUGAGGGUGCGAAAAGCGUGGGGGAGCAAAACAGG
rnacentral:rRNA from 1 species